rnacentral:pre_miRNA from 1 species
AAAAUACUCCCUCCGUCCGGAAAUACUUGUCAUAAAAAUGGAUAAAAGGAAAUGUAUCUAGACGUAUUUUAGUUUUAGAUACAUCUCUUUUUAUCUAUUUUGAUGACAAGUAUUUUCGGACGGAGGGAGUAGAAA